GCAUUAGUGGCGGAACGGCAGACGCAACGGACUCAAAAUCCGUCGGGGGUGACCUCGUGAGGGUUCAAAUCCCUCCUGAUGCA
rfam:Clostridium sp. CAG:75 genomic scaffold, scf145